UGAUGUACCGUGCAGGGGAUAGGCCUCUCUGGGUUAGGGUCCAAAGGUCCCUACCUGCUCCUUAAUGACCCGUCUCUGUACUGUGUGGAGAGAAUUGCCGGUCUCUGUACUGUCCAGCCCCUACCUCCACCUUAAUUACCGGUCUCUGUACUGUCUAUCCCCUGCCUGCUCCUUAAUGACCAAUCUCUGUAUUCACUGUCUAACCCCUACCUGCUCUUUAAUGACCCGUGUCUGUACUGUCUAACCCCUACCUCCCCCUUGAUGACCCAUCGCUCUACUGUCUAACCCCUCCCUCCCCCUUAAAGACCCGUCUCUGUACUGUCUAACCCCUCCCUCCCCCUUAAUGACCCGUCUCUGUACUGUCUAACCCCUCCCUCCCCUUAAUGACCCGUCCCUGUACUGUCUAACCCCUCCCUCCCCCUUAAUAUCUGGCGGAGAUGAAGAGGAGAACGUUGACAGAGCUCAGCUGUUAACCGCGGUGUGGGCGUCCCCAGACCCCCCGGAGGUGACCGCGGCCUCCGCCUGCUCCACCUCCCCCCUGAGGGUGAGCUGUGAGUGUGUGGUGGAGGCCAACCCCCCGGCCGCGGUGCAACUGUCCCGGCCCGUCGGCGUACCGCUGAGCACCGGCUCGGAGACGCAGGGCUCCGUCACCGUGGCGACGCUGGCCGGCGACGAGGCUGCCCUGUGGUCCUCGGAUCCCAUCUACUGCCACGCCUUCAACAGCCUGGGGAACACCACACACACACUGCAGGUGCCCCCCAAUGGUAUAGUGCUAACCAUAACUGGCAUAGCUACGGGUGUGCUGCUGCUUCUAGUCAUGGUGCCUUUAGGAAUUAAAUGGAAGAGGAAACAAAUCGAAAAUAACACAACAUUUGCUGAUGCUCACAUAAAUAUGUCAACCCGUUGUAACAAAGAGAAUCUUUAUAAAAACGAUGAUGCACUCUAUGCCAACAUGUGAAACUAGCAUCAAGACUGCAGUCUGUCCUGGGCCGCCUCUACGAUGAAAAUCGUGUGUAGCAAUGUUUUAGUAUCAAGUCCAAAUCCUUUUUUUAAUUUUAAUUUAUAAAAAAUAGUGCCUUAUGUGGUUUUUCUAUUCUUAUCAUAUUAACAAAAUAAAAUCUCCUGUUAGGGUUAUACAGUUGUAUAACAGUAUGAGUGACUUAUGUACAUAUUACUAAUAAAAUGGGAAUAAAUAUGUAUAGUUUUGUAUUAUUUUUGUAACAUAUUGCCUG
ensembl:lncRNA